rnacentral:rRNA from 1 species
ACGAACGCUGGCGGCGUGCUUCAUACAUGCAAGUCGAACGAGAAUCUGGCUUCGGUCAGAGGAAAGUGGCGGACGGGUGAGUAAUGUGUAGAGAAUCUGCCCUUUAGUGGGGGACAACAGUUGGAAACGACUGCUAAUACCCCAUAUGCGCGUAGCUGAGAUGCUAUUCGUGAAAACUCCGGUGCUAAAGGAUGAGUCUGCAUCUGAUUAGCUAGUUGGCGGUGUAAUGGACCACCGAAGGCGACGAUCAGUAGCUGGUUUGAGAGGAUGAUCAGCCACAAUGGGACUGAGACACGGCCCAUACUCCUACGGGAGGCAGCAGUAGGGAAUUUUGCGCAAUGGGGGAAACCCUGACGCCAGCAACGCCGCGUGAUUGAAUAAGCCCUUCGGGGUGUAAAGAUCUGUCAGUAGGGACGAAACUUGACGGUACCUACAGAGGAAGCAUCGGCUAACUCCGUGCCAGCAGCCGC